rnacentral:rRNA from 1 species
GACGAACGCUGGCGGCGUGCCUAAUACAUGCCAGUCGAGCGGACGAAUCGAAAGCUUGCUUUUGAUUCGUUAGCGGCGGACGGGUGAGUAACACGUGGGCAACCUGCCCUGUAGACGGGGAUAACACCGAGAAAUCGGUGCUAAUACCGGAUAACACGAAAUGUCGCAUGACGUUUCGUUGAAAGACAGCGCAAGCUGUCGCUACAGGAUGGGCCCGCGGCGCAUUAGCUAGUUGGUGAGGUAACGGCUCACCAAGGCGACGAUGCGUAGCCGACCUGAGAGGGUGAUCGGCCACACUGGGACUGAGACACGGCCCAGACUCCUACGGGAGGCAGCAGUAGGGAAUCUUCCGCAAUGGACGAAAGUCUGACGGAGCAACGCCGCGUGAGCGAAGAAGGCCUUCGGGUCGUAAAGCUCUGUUGUUAGGGAAGAACAAGUAACGCAGUAACUGGCGUUACCGUGACGGUACCUAACGAGAAAGCCACGGCUAACUACGUG